CGUCGUGUUUGUUGCACACCAAUAAUAUGUUCGUUUUCUUAUUGUAAUAUAGACGUAUGGGUUUGUCUAGUCCGUCUGCGUUGGUAAGUAAUGUUUUGCUGACAGUUCCAUCAUCUUGCAAUAUCAUAAGGUUGUUAGAUCUUAUACCCACAACAAACAGAUUUUGGGCACCGUCAGUGGCAAUGCCGCCCGGUGUGGUUAGUGAUGUAUUCUUAAAAUUCCAUAUAUUGUUUCCCGUUGUACUACAACAGUUAAUUGUAUCCGCAAAUGGCACUGUGUAGUAGAUUCUGUCUUUGAUCGUCGUGAUAUUAUACACAUGCAUUUCACACUGGAUUGUUUUAAGAAUAGUUCCUUCCAUAUCCAACACUACGAUUCCUACACCAAACACUACAACAUUAAUUUUUUCAUCGCUGUAUGAUAUCCCACGACAGCUGUUUUUUAAUUUCAACUUUUUGAGAACGGUUAUUUUGUUUAAAUCUAUAAUUUCGAUGUAUUUAUAAGUGUUAUAAGAAACAGCUAUUUGAUCGGUAUCUAUUACUGUCAGAUCCCAUGGGUUUUUAGAAACUGAUAUAUCACGGAUAAAAAGUCCGUCUUCAUUAUACUCGAUUAGUACAUUGUUCCCAGCGUUGUCUGCAAUCAAUACGUUACCAUUUGCCAAUAUUGCACAUCCUGAAAUGUACAUUUCCUUUUCUUUUCUCUUAAUUGUGAACUUCUUUUGCAGUCGUAGCUUUGUAUUGUUAACUGAUCUUCUAGUUGGUACUUGCUGUCUAACAUGUAUUUGGGCUUGAUCCAUUUUUGAAUCCGUAAAUGGACAAUUGAUGGUACUUUCAUCGACUUUUACUCUAGCAAAGUAAUCAACAUCUUUCAGCAAUGACGUAAUUCUAUGGUGUAUCUCUAUUUCUAUGUCGUAAUUUCUACCGGAAGCUAAGGCUUUUGUUAUGGACUUUACCUCGUCGUGAAUUUCUUUAUUCGUCUGAUGUGUCCUCAAAAACACCUGUAUGUCUGGUGCAAAACGUUUUAGUUGAGAUGUAUGUUCUUGAAGGCGUUUAAUUUCUAUUUCCAUUUCAUUUAGCUUGUUCUGUAUUGUCCCAUAUUUUGAUUUACAAGAAGUAUGUGUUGUUGUCAACUCAUCUAAUAGUUUUCUUUCCAGAUCAUCUAAAUGCUUAUUUAUAGUUUCCCUCGUAUCAAAAAUACGCUUCUUGAUGAUUUUUUCCUGAAUUUCGAUUCUUACGGAUGCAGUCUCGCGAUCCUUACGACAUUUUUGUAUGUUUACUAAUGUUUCGUUAAUUGUGUGUUCCAAGUCCGUCAGAGCAGUUGAUGUCUUCGCAUUUUUCGCUGCUUCUGCAAGUGGAAUUAUGGCGUCGGAGCAUUCUUUAUGCUUUGCUGUAAAGCAUGCAAUGCAAAUAGUAUUUUCGUGAACUUUGCAAUACAAUUCCAGUUUUGACCCGUGCUCCUCGCACUGAAUACAAACAUUCCUAUUUUCAAUUUUUCGGUAGUCUUCGAUUAAGAUCAAAUUGUGAUCUCUAGUUAUUCUCAAUGACUUAUGUGCCUUUUCACAUACAUUACAAAACCCUUCGUUGCAAUCCGUGCACCAUUUCUCUGUAUUCCGUGUGUUCCCGUCGUGACCACAGGGUCCACAUGGUAUAAAUGAAGCCAUAUAUCUCAACACAUC
rnacentral:lncRNA from 1 species